rnacentral:rRNA from 1 species
UGCAAGUCGUGCGCGUGAAGCCGUCAAUCACCCUUCGGGGUGUUUGUCGGUGGAACGAGCGGCGGACGGGUGAGUAACACGUGGGCAACCUGCCUGUAAGAUCGGGAUAACUCCGGGAAACCGGGGCUAAUACCGGAUACGUUCUUCCAUCGCCUGAUGGAGGAAUAAAAGAUGGCCUCAGGCUAUCACUUGCAGAGGGGCCCGCGGCGCAUUAGUCAGUUGGUGAGGUAAUGGCUUACCAAGGCAACGAUGCGUAGCCGACCUGAGAGGGUGAUCGGCCACACUGGGACUGAGACACGGCCCAGACUCCUACGGGAGGCAGCAGUAGGGAAUCUUCCGCAAUGGACGCAAGUCUGACGGAGCAAUGCCGCGUGAGUGAUGAAGGUCCUUGGAUCGUAAAGCUCUGUUGUCAGGGAAGAACAAGUGCCGUUCGAACAGGGCGGUACCUUGACGGUACCUGACCAGAAAGCCCCGGCUAACUACGUGCCAGCAGCCGCGGUAAUACGUAGGGGGCAAGCGUUGUCCGGAAUUAUUGGGCGUAAAGGGCACGCAGGCGGUUUCUUAAGUCUGAUGUGAAAUCUUGCGGCUCAACCGCAAGCUGCCAUUGGAAACUGGGAGACUUGAGUACAGAAGAGGAGAGUGGAAUUCCACGUGUAGCGGUGAAAUGCGUAGAGAUGUGGAGGAACACCAGUGGCGAAGGCGACUCUCUGGUCUGUAACUGACGCUGAGGUGCGAAAGCGUGGGUAGCAAACAGGAUUAGAUACCCUGGUAGUCCACGCCGUAAACGUUGAGUGCUAGGUGUCAGGGGGUUUCCGCCCCUUGGUGCUGAAGUUAACGCAUUAAGCACUCCGCCUGGGGAUUACGGCCGCAAGGCUGAAACUCAAAAGAAUUGACGGGGGCCCGCACAAGCGGUGGAGCAUGUGGUUUAAUUCGACGCAACGCGAAGAACCUUACCAGGUCUUGACAUCCUCUGCCAGCGCUGGAGACAGCGUGUUCCCUUCGGGGACAGAAUGACAGGUGGUGCAUGGUUGUCGUCACCUCUGGUCG